ACGUGAAAUUGUUGACUG
rnacentral:miRNA from 1 species